rnacentral:siRNA from 1 species
GAGAUGCAAGCGCAGGCGUUCC